UACGAGGGGGGCGAGCGUUGUUCGGAAUUACUGGGCGUAAAGCGUGCGCAGGCGGUUUUGUAAGCCAGGGGUGAAAUCCCCGGGCUCAACCUGGGAAUGGCAUUUGGGACUGCAAGGCUGGAGUGCGGCAGAGGAGACUGGAAUUCCUGGUGUAGCAGUGAAAUGCGUAGAUAUCAGGAGGAACACCGAUGGCGAAGGCAGGUCUCUGGGCUGACACUGACGCUCAUGCACGAAAGCGUGGGGAGCAAACAGG
rnacentral:rRNA from 1 species